AAAAAUAAAGAAAUCAGUGGCAGCCAGAAUUCAUCCACAAUAACUAGUUUAUCAGCAGAGAAAAGUUACCAGGUCAAGGUUGCUGCACGCACUAGUGUUGGUGAAGGGGAAAACAAGACAGCACCAACCAACGUGAAGCUGACAUCAGGACCUCCCAUAUUCGUUGCCCUUGCUAAUACUUUUGCUAAAGUAUCAACCGCAAGUGUGGAAGAUGCCAGAAAACAAAUUUCAUUGCAAGUGCCCAGUUCUCCAUUUGGCUCAGAAAACGGAAUUGUGAGGAACAUAAGCGUUAUUGUGGCAGAAGACUCGG